rnacentral:lncRNA from 1 species
AGGACUGGUGAAUGGACUUCGCUUUAUCACAAUAAAAAGCAAGCGGUUUUGCCUAACUUUAAGUGAGAAGCAAGAUCUGUACCUCCGUGAAUGUUUGCCAGUCUCCUAGUCCACCUCACCGGCUGCCACCACCAGAGUUACCCCCUUUCUCCUUUUGUUUUCCAUCGAGCUCCAUAUCUCUGCCGUCGCCGUUGAGGUGUGUGC